UACGAAGGGGGCUAGCGUUGCUCGGAAUCACUGGGCGUAAAGCGCACGUAGGCGGCUUUCUAAGUCAGGGGUGAAAUCCUGGAGCUCAACUCCAGAACUGCCUUUGAUACUGGAGAGCUUGAGUCCGGGAGAGGUGAGUGGAACUGCGAGUGUAGAGGUGAAAAUCGUAGAUAUUCGCAAGAACACCAGUGGCGAAGGCGGCUCACUGGCCCGAUACUGAC
rnacentral:rRNA from 1 species